rnacentral:rRNA from 1 species
AUACGGAGGAUCCGAGCGUUAUCCGGAUUUAUUGGGUUUAAAGGGUGCGCAGGCGGGAGAUUAAGUCGGCGGUGAAAUUUUGCAGCUCAACUGUAAAAGUGCCUUCGAAACUGGUUUCCUUGAGUGUAGAUGGAGUAGGCGGAAUUUGUGGGGUAGCGGUGAAAUGCAUAGAUAUCACGAGGAACUCCGAUUGCGCAGGCAGCUUACUAAACUACUACUGACGCUCAGGCACGAAGGCGUGGGGAUCAAACAGGAUUAGAUACCCUGGUAGUCCACGCAGUAAACGAUGAUUACUAGCUGUUUGCGAUACAAUGUAAGCGGCUGAGCGAAAGCGUUAAGUAAUCCACCUGGGGAGUACGUUCGCAAGAAUGAAACUCAAAGGAAUUGACGGGG